GACGAACCGUGCGAACGUUGUUCGGAAUCACUGGGCUUAAAGGGCGCGUAGGCGGGCGGGCAAGUCAGGGGUGAAAUCCCACGGCUCAACCGUGGAAGUGCCUUUGAUACUGCCGGUCUGGAGGGAGGUAGGGGCGUGCGGAACUUCCGGUGGAGCGGUGAAAUGCGUAGAUAUCGGAAGGAACACCGGUGGCGAAAGCGGCGCGCUGGACCUCUACUGACGCUGAGGCGCGAAAGCCAGGGGAGCAAACGGG
rnacentral:rRNA from 1 species